rnacentral:rRNA from 1 species
UACGAAGGGGGCUAGCGUUGCUCGGAAUCACUGGGCGUAAAGGGUGCGUAGGCGGGUCUUUUAAGUCAGGGGUGAAAUCCUGGAGCUCAACUCCAGAACUGCCUUUGAUACUGAGGAUCUUGAGUUCGGGAGAGGUGAGUGGAACUGCGAGUGUAGAGGUGAAAAUUCGUAGAUAUUCGCAAGAACACCAGUGGCGAAAGGCGGCUCACUGGCCCCGAUACUGACGCUGAGGCACGAAAAGCGUGGG